CCUACGGGUGGCAGCAGUGAGGAAUAUUGGUCAAUGGACGAGAGUCUGAACCAGCCAAGUAGCGUGAAGGAUGACUGCCCUAUGGGUUGUAAACUUCUUUUAUAUGGGAAUAAAAUGUUCCACGUGUGGGAUUUUGUAUGUACCAUAUGAAUAAGGAUCGGCUAACUCCGUGCCAGCAGCCGCGGUAAUACGGAGGAUCCGAGCGUUAUCCGGAUUUAUUGGGUUUAAAGGGAGCGUAGGUGGAUUGUUAAGUCAGUUGUGAAAGUUUGCGGCUCAACUGUAAAAUUGCAGUUGAUACUGGCAGUCUUAGGUACAGUUGAGGUAGGCGAAGUUCGUGGUGUCGCGGUAAAGUGCU
rnacentral:rRNA from 1 species